UCUCUACGACCCGCGACCCCACAGUUGGUUCCGGUCAGGCCAGCGUCAACGCCCACCCAAUGGCCACAGGACCAAACACAGAUGCAACCCCAGCCCCAGAUGUACCAUCAGAUAUAUCCUGUCAGCUGGCCCGGGACAAGUCGCAGACAUGCUCCCCAGACACCGGCAGGAGUUUCUACCAGCCAGCAGCAUUCCCAGUCUUCAGACGUUUUGACCGCCGCCGCCCGUGUUCUGAAUGAGUAAUAGGUGAAAUCCCAGCAGCAGCAGAAUUUCAAUUUUGUUUAUAAAUUUAACAUUAAUGAAAAAAAAAUUGUGAACUUUUCAAGAAUAAACAUAAUGUAACUAGUGAAAUAUAAAGUUUACAUGUCACGUUUUUAAAUACAAGUAAAGUUAACAUGUAAAUUUUCUUAAGAGACAUGCAAGUAAUGUUUUAUUAAAGUUUAAUAAAGUGUGUUUUAAAAAAAAACGAGUUAUGAAUGAAAAUUAUAACCCAUUGUACUGUUUAGUAAAUUAAAAGUUUAUUUUAUUGCUGUACAAAUUACAUCCUUAUAUGAAGAAAUCGACAUCUAC
rnacentral:sRNA from 1 species